rnacentral:tRNA from 1 species
GGGCUUGUAACUCAGUGGUAGAGUGUGUGCCUGAUAAGCGUAAAGUCAGUCGUUCAACUCGGCUCUGGCUCA